CAGACAUCUCUCGUUGAGCUCACCAUGGGGUUGCGUUCUGUAAGAUCCACUCUGUCUUCCUAAAUCUGCCACAAUAGCAAUUUGCUUCUGCACCCCAACUGCAAUUGAUCUAUUAUAGGAUUGUCUGACCUUGUUAUUGGACUUGGUGUUUCAGCACAAAUGUGUUUUUGUAUUUGUUUUAGAGGAUCAGAGUAAAAUGCCUAAUUGUCAACUGUCUUUGAGGAGAAAUAAUGUAGCGUGAAAAUGUUCUGUAAUGUCAACAAAGUUUCUGCACCAAAUAUUGGAAUCAGUGGUGCGUUCGAAGACAGUCGCAGGUUAUGUCAGCUUGUGUGCUGUGUCUUUAUUUUCAGGAAGUCAGCCUUUUCUCUGCCUGAACAGUGAGCUGCAUCUGAACGCUUCCCCUUCUGCACCACUGACCCUGAUGAAAGCAACAUUCCCUCCCCGCCAGCGCUGCAAUUUCCCCCAUACAACACACAGACCUGCAAGGUGUGAGUUUCAGAGGGGUGAUGGUUGCAGUGUGUGAGUCUGAAGGGUGAGGGGGUGAUCGCCUGGAUCAUCAGUACAGACACAUGCACACGCUCUGUGACAUCCAGGAGGGGUGUUGCCGAGAAACUCCAACCAAUCGAUGUCCCAGCAUGCUUUGCUCUCCACACCCUCGCAGCAUGUCUGAAAUCACAGCCCCCCUGCACUGUUCCAACCUGACAAAUGACAUAAUGUGCAGAAUCAAGCACCGGCCUUCGGAUGAAAAGAAACAUGUCUGCCACUGUCCCCAUCGGAAUGGAGAGGAGCAUCGGGAGCAUGUGAGUGCGUCUGGAAGCCGGAGUGGCCCGAGGCUUCGCUCACUGGAACAAUGCAAAGAUCAAAGCCCUGAGGACUGACAGGUGAUGAGUGGCUUCCCCUGGCCAGAGCACCACAGCCAGGCUCACACCUGUACCAGGUGAUUACAGGUAGAUCUGCCUGCCUCUAAUUGGACAAUAAAUGCAGCUCUCAGCCAGCUAAUGGUAGCAGUCUGCCUCAGCGACGCCACGCUGCCAUUUGACUGUCGCCAACCCUACCUAUGUCUCUCUCUCUUUCUCUCUCACAGCUGAGAUGAUGACAUAGUCAAAGUCUAUUCAGAGCAAACAACAAGACAAAUUACAAUCCAAGCCUUUAAUGUGAGAGUCACAGAAAGGAGAGAAGUAGAGAGGGAAGUAAAGUCUCCUGUACUGCUCUGUUGGAUCUUACUGAUGGAAGAUUUCUCUUUGUUUAUUUAUGUUUUGUCAUUGCUUAACCUCUACAUAUUUCUACAUACCUAACAGUAUUGCAACUGAGGCUCACACUAAGAAGGAAUUCACAUAUUUUAGGCUUUAAUCAGUGGACUGUGUAAAUAAAUUUUUUAACCUCUUUAAGCCUAGAAUUAUUAUUCAAGUGAGCAACUAAAAUGUUUUUGAUUGCAUCCCUUUGUUACGUAUCAUCAUGUCAGCAAAACAAACUCAACAGAACAAAACAAACUUGGAUCUCCUUAAAAUUUCAUAAUGAGUGGACCAAUAGAAAUGAUCCAGUAUUGUUUAGAAUACAUUUUUGCUAUAUUAACAUACACAAAGAGUUAAAAUGUUCCUGUUCUUUUGAAGUUUUGUGUUUGUUAAGAAUUUUUUUUCCUGUUCUUUUAAAAUUGUAUUUUUUGCCAUGUGGCUGUCAACACAACACAGCAAAUCAGUCAAACUACAUGUUACUGCCAUGAUCAACACUGAAAACUAUAUUUUUAAAACCAAAGCUGUUGCCUUACUGUAAAUUUGUGCCUAAAGCAAUUUCACUGUCCUUUAGAUGUUUUUAAAAGGGCUCAUAUUCCAGAAAAUGAAAUUGUUCCUUAUUUUGGGAAAUUAAAGUGUUUGAAGUAGUAUGUAAAUAUUGCUAAAAUUCAGAACUGUUCUCUCCCCCUACAUACAGUCCAUACAUGGAAACAAAACUGCAAAAACAACCCAAUCUGAAUUCAGUGAUAUCACAAAAAACAAUAUAUUUGUACAUAUCCAGCCCUUGAGUUUGCGCAAAGAGGUGGAUAUAUGUUUCAUUCUGAAGACAGCAGCUUUUUCUUUAAAGCACAGUACAGGUCAGCCAAACAGAAUAGAGGUCUUUUAUAUACAUGAGUCUUGAAGACACACACACAAAAAAACAGCUUGUUUAAUUCUUUAAAGGCUUAAGCAGAGAUUCAAUGUAAGAAUGAAUUAUGGCUGUGUUUUUGGCAUAUGAAACCACAAACAUCAUAAGUAAGCCCAGAAGAAAAAAAAUGCAAAACAAUGUAGAAUAUAGCCCCUUCAAUGUAUGAAUGUCCUGUCAUUGCUGGCUGGAUAAAGGCUAGCUAUCACACACCUCCUGCAAUGUGCAUGAAGCCUGAAACCAAAAAAAGGUUUCACAAAAAUUUUUCUUUGAGUGAAGCUGAAGAAGAACUACUUUGCUUACAUGACAAACUAUUUUUUAAAAAGAUAUUUUUGAGUAUGUUGAACCUUUUCAAGUUUUGAAGAAACUACAAAGGUUCUAUACCAGUGUAAGUAUUCUUCCAAGAGCCUUUGCAUUAUGUGGAAGUUCUUUAAACUCUAGAAAGUUUCUUUACACUCACACAUCUCAUUUACAAAAUGGUUCUGUAAAAAAGGAGAACCCUUUUUGAUGUGUUUGCUUUUAAGAGUGUAGAUGUCUUAUUCACUCUCAGUUCUGUGUAAUCAUGUAGAUGCCAGACAGUCUUCUACAUCAUAUAGUGCCAUGACAGAGACGGACCCUGACACACUUCCUCUCUGACGACACAGCCCAUGACAUGCUGAAAGACCUCAUGCUGUAACAGGCACAUGGCAUGGCUCAAACUAUAACCUAAUUCCCAGUAUGGAGAGUUCACAUCUGUGGUACAAGGUACAUAUGACUUUCCUGUGGACUUAAUAAUUUCAGUGUUGAAAUGUUAGUGCUUUCAUUUUUAUUAUUAUUGAUAUGCAGAAUUGUGAAAUGUACUCUGACAAUUUCAUUUCAUAAUAAAAAAAUCACUUUCUACAAAAAUG
ensembl:lncRNA